rnacentral:rRNA from 1 species
UACGGAAGGUGCAAGCGUUGUUUGGAAUGACUGGGCGUAAAGAGCACGUAGGCGGGUUUUUAAGUCGUAUGUGAAAUCCCUGGGCUUAACCCGGGACGUGCAAGCGAAACUGAAGAUCUUGAAUAUCUGAGGGGUUGAUGGAAUUCCAGGUGUAGGAGUGAAAUCCGUAGAUAUCUGGAGGAACACCGGAGGCGAAGGCGGUCAACUGGCAGAAUAUUGACGCUGAGGUGCGAGAGCGUGGGUAGCAAACAGG